rnacentral:misc_RNA from 1 species
GAUGAAGAACGCAGCGAAAUGCGAUAAGUAAUGUGAAUUACAGAAUUCAGUGAAUCAUCGAAUCUUUGAACGCACAUUGCGCCCCCUGGUAUUCCGGGGGGCAUGCCUGUCCGAGCGUCAUUACAACCCUCAAGCUCAGCUUGGUGUUGGGCCCCGCCGCCCCGGCGGGCCCUAAAGUCAGUGGCGGUGCCGUCCGGCUCCGAGCGUAGUAAUUCUUCUCGCUCUGGAGGUCCGGUCGUGUGCUCGCCAGCAACCCCCAAUUUUUUUCAGGUUGACCUCGGAUCAGGUAGGGAUACCCGCUGAACUUAAGCAUAUCAAUAAGCGGAGGA